rnacentral:rRNA from 1 species
CGAAGGGGGCUAGCGUUGUUCGGAAUUACUGGGCGUAAAGCGCACGUAGGCGGAUAUUUAAGUCAGGGGUGAAAUCCCGGGGCUCAACCCCGGAACGGCCUUUGAUACUGGAUGUCUUGAGUCCGGAAGAGGUGAGUGGAAUUGCGAGUGUAGAGGUGAAAUUCGUAGAUAUUCGCAAGAACACCAGUGGCGAAGGCGGCUCACUGGCCCGAUACUGACGCUGAGGCACGAAAGCGUGGGGAGCAAACAGG